CCUACGGGAGGCUGCAGUGGGGAAUAUUGCACAAUGGGCGAAACCCUGAUGCAGCGACGCCGCGUGAGUGAAGAAGGCAUUCGUUACGUAAAGCUCUAUCAGCAGGGAGGAAACACUGACCUUACAUUCAGCUGACGGUACCUGAGUCAGAAGCACCAGCUAACUACGUGCCAGCAGCCGCGGUAAUACGUAGGAUGCAAGCGUUAAGCGGAUUUAGUGGGUUUAAAGGGUGCGUAGGCGGUCGGAUAAGUUAGAGGUGAAAUCCCGAGGCUCAACCUCGGAAUUGCCUCUGAUACUGGUCGGCUAGAGAGUAGUUGAGGUAGGUGGAAUGCAAGGUGUAGCGGUGAAAUGCUUAGAGAUCAGAAAGAACACCGAUUGCGAAGGCAGCCCACUAAGCUACUUCUGACGUUGAGGCACGAAAGCGUGGGGAGCAAACAGGAUUAGAUACCCGGGUAGUC
rnacentral:rRNA from 1 species